rnacentral:rRNA from 1 species
UACGAAGGGGGCUAGCGUUGCUCGGAAUCACUGGGCGUAAAGCGCACGUAGGCGGAUUCUUAAGUCGGUGGUGAAAUCCUGGAGCUCAACUCCAGAACUGCCUUUGAUACUGGGUAUCUUGAGUAUGGAAGAGGUAAGUGGAAUUCCGAGUGUAGAGGUGAAAUUCGUAGAUAUUCGGAGGAACACCAGUGGCGAAGGCGGCUUACUGGUCCAUUACUGACGCUGAGGUGCGAAAGCGUGGGGAGC